rfam:Galdieria sulphuraria unplaced genomic scaffold scaf_62, whole genome shotgun sequence.
ACUGCCGUGGUGUAAAGGUUAUCAUUCCAGCCUUCCAAGCUGGAGACCCGGGUUCGAUUCCCGGCGGCAGUA